rnacentral:rRNA from 1 species
AGCAUGUGGUUUAAUUCGAUGAUACGCGAGGAACCUUACCAAGGCUUAAAUGCAUAAUGACGUAUUUGGAAACAGAUAUUUCUUCGGACAGAAUGCAAGGUGCUGCAUGGCUGUCGUCAGCUCGUGCCGUGAGGUGUUAGGUUAAGUCCUGCAACGAGCGCAACCCCUAUCAUUAGUUGCCAGCGCUUAAAGACGGGGACUCUAAUGAGACUGCCAACGCAAGUUGAGAGGAAGUGGGGACGACGUCAAGUCAUCACGGCCCUUACGUCUUGGGCUACACACGUGCUACAAUGGUAAGUACAGAGGGCAGCUACCUGGCGACAGGAUGCGAAUCUCGAAAACUUAUCUCAGUUCGGAUUGGAGUCUGCAACUCGACUCUAUGAAGCUGGAAUCGCUAGUAAUCGCGGAUCAGCACGCCGCGGUGAAUACGUUCCCGGGCCUU